rnacentral:rRNA from 1 species
UGGGGAAUAUUGCACAAUGGGCGCAAGCCUGAUGCAGCGACGCCGCGUGAGGGAUGACGGCCUUCGGGUUGUAAACCUCUGUUAGCAGGGAAGAAGAGAAAUUGACGGUACCUGCAGAGAAAGCGCCGGCUAACUACGUGCCAGCAGCCGCGGUAAUACGUAGGGCGCGAGCGUUGUCCGGAAUUAUUGGGCGUAAAGAGCUUGUAGGCGGUUUGUCGCGUCUGCUGUGAAAGGCCGGGGCUUAACCCCGUGUAUUGCAGUGGGUACGGGCAGACUAGAGUGCAGUAGGGGAGACUGGAACUCCUGGUGUAGCGGUGGAAUGCGCAGAUAUCAGGAAGAACACCGAUGGCGAAGGCAGGUCUCUGGGCUGUAACUGACGCUGAGAAGCGAAAGCAUGGGGAGCGAACAGG